rnacentral:rRNA from 1 species
AACGAACGCUGGCGGCAUGCCUAACACAUGCAAGUCGAACGAGACCUUCGGGUCUAGUGGCGCACGGGUGCGUAACGCGUGGGAACCUGCCCUUAGGUUCGGAAUAACUCCCCGAAAGGGGUGCUAAUACCGGAUAAUGUCUUCGGACCAAAGAUUUAUCGCCUUUGGAUGGGCCCGCGUUGGAUUAGCUAGUUGGUAGGGUAAAAGCCUACCAAGGCGACGAUCCAUAGCUGGUCUGAGAGGAUGAUCAGCCACACUGGGACUGAGACACGGCCCAGACUCCUACGGGAGGCAGCAGUGGGGAAUAUUGGACAAGGGGCGAAAGCCUGAUCCAGCAAUGCGGCGUGAGUGAUGAAGGCCUUAGGGUUGUAAAGCUCUUUUACCCGGGAUGAUAAUGACAGUACCGGGAGAAUAAGCUCCGGCUAACUCCGUG